ACCUAUGACAUUAUGAUUUUGGUAUGACAUCUCGAGGAUCUUCGAAUACAUUAGUUGAUUUUCCAUCCAAGAUAUGUCCAUGUCCUCGAGGGAGAUUAUGCAUGGUCAAAAAAGUGCAAAAGAAUCCUAUAAAUCGAGGCAGAUUAUAUUAUGCCUUAACUUGUAAUACAGAUAACUGUUGUGGUUUUGUGCAAUGGGUUGAAGAUUAUGUUGAGGAAUUACGGCUCUAUUCACCGAAAAAUAUCGACGGAGCCGAGUCAGGAGUUGCAUCAAAUGAAAA